CUACACAUGCAAGUCGAACGGUAACAGGAAACAGCUUGCUGUUUCGCUGACGAGUGGCGGACGGGUGAGUAAUGUCUGGGAAACUGCCUGAUGGAGGGGGAUAACUACUGGAAACGGUAGCUAAUACCGCAUAACGUCGCGAGACCAAAGAGGGGGACCUUCGGGCCUCUUGCCAUCGGAUGUGCCCAGAUGGGAUUAGCUAGUAGGUGGGGUAACGGCUCACCUAGGCGACGAUCUCUAGCUGGUCUGAGAGGAUGAUCAGCCACACUGGAACUGAGACACGGUCCAGACUCCUACGGGAGGCAGCAGUGGGGAAUAUUGCACAAUGGGCGCAAGCCUGAUGCAGCCAUGCCGCGUGUAUGAAGAAGGCCUUCGGGUUGUAAAGUACUUUCAGCAGUGAGGAAGGUGAUUAGAUUAAUACUCUUAUCAUUUGACG
rnacentral:rRNA from 1 species